AAUAUAACAAGCAUUAUAGAACAAUAUGUAAUGCCAAGUAAUUAACACAUUAAUUCACCCUAAUCAGACUACGCAUUCAGCAACAGCAAUAUUCGUUCAAAUAUCAUACUCAACAGUAGAUUCUCAACCAUAUUCAACAUCAAUAACACAACACACAAUACACAUAUAAUACUGGAAUACAUCCAUUCAUAUUAUAUGCCAUACAUUCAUUAUGCAAUGAGACUCUAUGCAUGCGGUACCGACUAUUUGUGAACAUAUAGUUCAACCUCAC
rnacentral:lncRNA from 1 species